rnacentral:rRNA from 1 species
UACGUAGGGUGCAAGCGUUAAUCGGAAUUACUGGGCGUAAAGCGUGCGCAGGCGGUUGUGCAAGACCGAUGUGAAAUCCCCGGGCUUAACCUGGGAAUGGCAUUGGUGACUGCACGGCUAGAGUGUGUCAGAGGGGGGUAGAAUUCCACGUGUAGCAGUGAAAUGCGUAGAGAUGUGGAGGAAAACCGAUGGCGAAGGCAGCCCCCUGGGAUAACACUGACGCUCAUGCACGAAAGCGUGGGGAGCAAACAGG